ACAAAUAUAUAUAUAUACCCCAAAAUUGUAUUUCAAAAAUUCCAUGUACACCACCUUUAAUGGAUAAGCAGAGAGUAAAUUUAAAAUAUUGAUAAGAAUUUUUUAUAGUAAUUAAAAUAACCAUUUUUGGAAAACCAAAAUAUAUUAUUUGGUACCAAAUUCAUAGGCGUGUUCUUUGAUACCAAAUAUACGCUUGUUUUAAAAAUUAUAAAGAACAAAAUAAAUUUUAAUGUUUAAAAAUUAAAGAAAUUUUUUUUUAUCCAUUUUAUUAUUGAUUUUGAAAUACUUAAAUCAUUCCUUUUUCUAUUCACACAUAUUUUUUCCCCAAAAAGUUUAUUUUUAAAACAUGAUUAUACAAAAAAACAACUUUAUAUACAAGCAAUUGAAUAUCCAUUUUUACAUAUUUAUACUAAAUGAUACAAAAGCAUUGCGGUGGAAAUAAUGGUUUUCUUGCCACUUGUCCAUUUGGAAGCCUACAACGCUUUUAUAAUAUUUGGAAGAAUAUUUGGAAAAGUCAUUGCCGAGCUAAAUAAUAUCAACUUUGUGGUAUAAGCAAAAUGACUAAUUUUACAUC